rnacentral:rRNA from 1 species
GAAUAUUGGACAAUGGGCGAAAGCCUGCUCCAGCCAUGCCGCGUGUGUGAAGAAGGUCUUUGGAUUGUACAGCACUUUCAGUUGGGAGGAAGGGCAGUCAGCGCAUACCUUGCCGUGUUGACGUUAUCGACACAAUCACCACCGUCUAACUCUGUCCCACCAGCCGCGGUAAUACAGAGGGUGCAAGCGUUAAUCGGAAUUACUGGGCGUAAAGCGAGCGUAGGUGGUUCGUGAAGUUGGAAGUGAAAUCCCCGGGCUCAACCUGGGAACUGCAUCGAAAACUGUAGAGCUAGAGUAGGGCAGAGGGUGGUGGAAUUUCCUGUGUAGCGGUGAAAUGCGUAGAUAUAGGAAGGAACACCAGUGGCGAAGGCGACCACCUGGGCUGAUACUGACACUGAGGUGCGAAAGCGUGGGGAGCAAACA